rnacentral:rRNA from 1 species
UACGGAGGGUGCGAGCGUUGUCCGGAAUCACUGGGCGUAAAGCGCGCGUAGGCGGCCCUGUAAGUCCGUUGUGAAAGUCAAAGGCUCAACCUUUGAAAGCCGAUGGAUACUGCAGGGCUAGAGUCCGGAAGAGGCGAGUGGAAUUCCUGGUGUAGCGGUGAAAUGCGCAGAUAUCAGGAGGAACACCGGUGGCGAAGGCGGUUCUCUGGGCAUUACCUGACGCUGAGGAGCGAAAGUGUGGGGAGCGAACAGG